rnacentral:lncRNA from 1 species
GAAUUUCAUUUCAUUUCUGAUCUCUUUCUUCAGCUCAGUAGAUUGGUUUGAAAGUGAGUUGAAAGUUAUGUCAGAUUCAAUAUAUCCUCAAAAUACAUUUCCUUGAAAACAAUUGGAAAAACCUUUCCACCCCACUUUUGCUGGUUAUUUAAAUCUGUGUAAUGACCAGAGACGUCAACCCUCAGCUCAGCACGUCAACCGUCAGCUCAGCACGUCAACGGUCGGCUCAGCAAAUAUCCAGCCCAAAAUACACCACUAGUGGUCUGUUCUUAAAGACCAAAAAACCAGGCCCUUUUUCUUCCUCCUUUCUUGCUGCUACGCCUCAACUAUUUCAUUGCUUGUCAAUGCUCAGCAAGGAAGACAGCCUAACAGCAGCCCUCCCACCUGUGAAUUCUUCACUGAUUAAAAUCUGGUUACAAAACAAGGGACCUAGAGAGAUGUUCACUUCACCACUUCUCUACAGAUGCCUCCUGCUGCUUCCAACUUUUCUCCUUUAAGGCAGGGUGAAUCCAAAUCAUGGUCUUAGCCCUGAAGGAGGCACCAAAGCAGUUUCGUUGCCCUGUGAAAAGCUUCUAGAGGAGCUCAUCUGAAUGCUUGAAGAAACCAGCCGCCCUUGCAAUUACCUAAAAGGAAUUGAGUCAUUUUAACAAGACAUUAUUUCUGCCAUCCACGGUCACAAUCAUCUCUUUGAAAAAUAAAUACUCU